rnacentral:rRNA from 1 species
GAUGAACGCUGGCGGCGUGCCUAAUACAUGCAAGUCGAGCGAAUGGAUUAAGAGCUUGCUCUUAUGAAGUUAGCGGCGGACGGGUGAGUAACACGUGGGUAACCUGCCCAUAAGACUGGGAUAACUCCGGGAAACCGGGGCUAAUACCGGAUAACAUUUUGAACCGCAUGGUUCGAAAUUGAAAGGCGGCUUCGGCUGUCACUUAUGGAUGGACCCGCGUCGCAUUAGCUAGUUGGUGAGGUAACGGCUCACCAAGGCAACGAUGCGUAGCCGACCUGAGAGGGUGAUCGGCCACACUGGGACUGAGACACGGCCCAGACUCCUACGGGAGGCAGCAGUAGGGAAGCUUCCGCAAUGGACGAAAGUCUGACGUAGCAACGCCGCGUGAGUGAUGAAGGCUUUCGGGUCGUAAAACUCUGUUGUUAGGGAAGAACAAGUGCUAGUUGAAUAAGCUGGCACCUUGACGGUACCUAACCAGAAAGCCACGGCUAACUACGUGCCAGCAGCCGCAGUAA